rnacentral:rRNA from 1 species
GUGAGGAAUAUUGCGCAAUGGACGAAAGUCUGACGCAGCCAUGCCGCGUGAAGGAUUGACGGCCCUAUGGGUUGUAAACUUCUUUUGUAUAGGAAUAAACCCUCGUUCGUGAGCGAGGCUGAAGGUACUAUAAGAAUAAGCACCGGCUAACUCCGUGCCAGCAGCCGCGGUAAUACGGAGGGUGCAAGCGUUAUCCGGAUUUAUUGGGUUUAAAGGGUCCGUAGGCGGAUCGUUAAGUCAGUGGUGAAAUCCUACCGCUCAACGGUAGAACUGCCAUUGAUACUGGCGAUCUUGAGUAUGUAUGAAGUUGGCGGAAUGUGUGGUGUAGCGGUGAAAUGCUUAGAUAUCACACAGAACACCGAUUGCGAAGGCAGCUGACUAAUACACAACUGACGCUGAGGGACGAAAGUGUGGGGAUCAAACAGGAUUAGAAACCCUGGUAGUCC